GGCAUCUAAGAGUGACAUGGAGCACGGGUGGCCAUGGGAGAGCUUGAAAAUAUAUGAGAAGGAAAUGAUCAAUGAAGAAAAUUUUCUCUUUGUGCCGAAACACCCUGUUUCAUGAAAUGCAACAUCGUAUCUCAUUUUUCUUCAUGAACUGCUCUAAUCUAACAGCUGGGCUGGAAGAGCACACAUUAUCAACAGGUUCAGUCAUAUAACACCCCAAACUUAGAAAUAACAAGUUGGAAGCUUCACAUCCUACAAAAUAAAUCAGUUACCCUAUCAAUUCUAUAAGCCUCGGAGUCUCAAAAUUGAAGGAAGGUAUUUUGAACAGCACUGUGCAAAAGCUGUUGCUGAGUUAGGUGUUCAGUUAAGCUGAACAGCAUGCCAUGUUCCUAGUUUCCUUUGCAGAAGCAUUUAUUUUACAUUUUAAAUAUGCA
rnacentral:lncRNA from 1 species